rnacentral:rRNA from 1 species
GAUGAACGCUAGCGGGAGGCUUAAUACAUGCAAGUCGAGGGGUAACAGAUACUUCGGUAUGCUGACGACCGGCGAACGGGUGCGUAACGCGUACACAACUUGCCUUCAAGUGAGGGAUAGCCCCGAGAAAUUGGGAUUAAUACCUCAUAUUAUUAUUGGGACACAUGUUCCGAUAAUGAAAGUUCCGGCGCUUGAAGAUGGGUGUGCGUCCCAUUAGGUAGUUGGUGAGGUAACGGCUCACCAAGCCAACGAUGGGUAGCGGGUCUGAGAGGAUGAUCCGCCACACGGGCACUGAGACACGGGCCCGACUCCUACGGGAGGCAGCAGUAAGGAAUAUUGGGCAAUGGGGGCAACCCUGACCCAGCUAUCCCGCGUGUAGGAUGACUGCCCUAUGGGUUGUAAACUACUUUUAUAUAGGAAGAAGGAUGCUUUAGAAGCAUAUUGACGUACUAUAUGAAUAAGCACCGGCUAACUCCGUG